rnacentral:tmRNA from 1 species
ACCCUUGCGCCUGCGCCGCGUGCCGCCUAUGUUGGGGGUGCCGGGAGUUUUCUCGCGGCUAUGGCAAUAAACGGGGUGUGGCAUAGGCGUAGUGGACCCGGGGGCGGUACCCGGCGUCUCCACCAAAAAUCCGGGCUGGGUCACCAGCCGGGAUCACUGGGGACGAAACAGGCUCGACACGCGCAGUAAAGACAUCUUUUUUGCCCGGUAUUGUACCACCGUUAUCGGGCUAAUUUUACAAGUGCCAAUGAUAACACUGAGGUGCUCGCUGUCGCUGCAUAAGCGAUAAGCGCGGUUCGGGAGGGCACCGGGCAACAGAAGCCCUCCCACC